GCGGGGGUGGCGGAAUGGCAGACGCGCCAGAUUUAGGAUCUGGUGGAGUUUUCCAUGCGGGUUCAAGUCCCGCCUCCCGCA
rnacentral:tRNA from 1 species